rnacentral:rRNA from 1 species
UACGGGGGGGGCAAGCGUUGUUCGGAAUUACUGGGCGUAAAGGGCUCGUAGGCGGUCUGUCAAGUCAGGGGUGAAAGCCUCCAGCUUAACUGGAGAAGUGCCUUUGAUACUGGCGGACUUGAGUGAGGUAGGGGUUGUGGGAACUUCCGGUGGAGCGGUGAAAUGCGUUGAUAUCGGAAGGAACGCCGGUGGCGAAAGCGCACAACUGGACCUCUUCUGACGCUGAGGCGCGAAAGCCAGGGGAGCAAACGGG